AAGUCUGAUGGAGCAACGCCGCGUGAGUGAUGAAGGUUUUCGGAUCGUAAAACUCUGUUGUAAGGGAAGAACCAGUACGUCAGGCAAUGGACGUACCUUGACGGUACCUUAUUAGAAAGCCACGGCUAACUACGUGCCAGCAGCCGCGGUAAUACGUAGGUGGCAAGCGUUGUCCGGAUUUACUGGGCGUAAAGAGUAUGUAGGCGGACAUUUAAGUCAGAUGUGAAAUCCCCGGGCUUAACCUGGGAGCUGCAUUUGAUACUGGGUGUCUAGAGUGUAGGAGAGGAAAGUGGAAUUCCUAGUGUAGCGGUGAAAUGCGUAGAGAUUAGGAAGAACACCAGUGGCGAAGGCGACUUUCUGGACUAUAACUGACGCUGAGAUACGAAAGCGUGGGGAGCAAACA
rnacentral:rRNA from 1 species